rnacentral:rRNA from 1 species
UCAGCAGCCGCGGUAAAACGUAGGAGCCAAGCGUUAUCCGAAUUCACUGGGCGUAAAGCGUGUGCAGGCGGACCUGUAAGUUUGAUGUGAAAUCUCCUGGCUCAACUGGGAGAGGCCGUUGAAUACUGUAGGUCUCGAGGGCAACAGAGGGAGGUGGAAUUCCCGGUGUAGUGGUGAAAUGCGUAGAUAUCGGGAGGAACACCAGUGGCGAAAGCGGCCUCCUGGGUUGCACCUGACGCUCAGACACGAAAGCUAGGGGAGCGAACGGGAUUAGAAACCCCGGUAGUCCUAGCCGUAAACGAUGUAGACUUGGUGUUGGAGGGGUAAAAGCCUUCAGUGCCGGAGCAAACGCGAUAAGUCUACCGCCUGGGGACUACGGCCGCAAGGUUAAAACUUAAAGGAAUUGGCGGGGGA